rnacentral:misc_RNA from 1 species
GAUGAAGAACGUAGCGAAAUGCGAUACGUAAUGUGAAUUUCAGAAUUCAGUGAAUCAUCGAGUCUUUGAACGCACAUUGCGCCCCCUGGUAUUCCGGGGGGCAUGCCUGUCCGAGCGUCAUUGCGGCCCUCAAGCACGGCUUGUGUGUUGGGCCUCCGUCCUCCUCCCGGGGGACGGGCCCGAAAGGCAGCGGCGGCACCGCGUCCGGUCCUCGAGCGUAUGGGGCUUCGUCACCCGCUCUUGUAGGCCCGGCCGGCGCUUGCCGACACAUCAAUCUUUUUUCCAGGUUGAACUCGGAUCAGGUAGGGAUACCCGCUGAACUUAAGCAUAUCAAUAAGCGGAGGA